UUGGAAGUAAAAAAGGUGUAACAAGGUUUCCGUAGGUGAACCUGCGGAAGGAUCAUUA
rnacentral:rRNA from 1 species